CACGCCAAGAAGAGAAGAACUGAGUGAGUUCAGACUCUCAACUUUCAGUCGAUUGUCAGAGAAGGAGGAGCAGCCUGACUGAAGAUGAGUGAUGUGGGUGAAGAGGAGGACAGAGCAGAGUCUGUGGACAGGGAAGAGACGCCAAGAGAGUCCAGGAGCAGACACACAACAGAGUCUUCAGGAUCAAGCAGGUUGUCUCUGAAGAGUGACCGGUCCAAAGACAAUCCACCAAAAUUCAGUGGUGAACCUGAACCUUCAGACACAAAAGAGAAGAAGAGCAGUGAUGUCUGUGAGGAGCAGCAGGACCAGGGUUCUUCAUCAGGAC